CCUACGGGCGUCAGCAGUGAGGAAUAUUGGUCAAUGGUCGCGAGCCUGAACCAGCCAAGUCGCGUGAGGGAAGACGGUCCUAUGGAUUGUAAACCUCUUUUGUCGGGGAGCAAAAGACGCCACGCGUGGCGUUUCGAGAGUACCCGAAGAAAAAGCAUCGGCUAACUCCGUGCCAGCAGCCGCGGUAAUACGGAGGAGGCAAGCGUUAUCCGGAAUGACUGGGCGUAAAGGGUGCGUAGGUGGUUUGACAAGUUGGUAGCGUAACUCCGGAGCUCAACUUCGGCACUAAUACCAAAACUGUUGGACUUGAGUGCAGGAGGGGCAACUGGAAUUUCUAGUGUAGCGGUGGAAUGCGUAGAUAUUAGGAAGAACACCGGUGGCGAAGGCGAGUUGCUGGACUGUAACGGACACUGAGGCACGAAAGCGUGGGGAGCAAACAGGAUUAGAUACCCGGGUAGUC
rnacentral:rRNA from 1 species